rnacentral:rRNA from 1 species
UACGUAGGGGGCAAGCGUUGUCCGGAUUUAUUGGGCGUAAAGAGCGUGUAGGCGGCUUUACAGGUCCGUUGUGAAAACUCACAGCUCAACUGUGGGCGUGCGGGCGAUACGGGCAGACUUGAGUACUGCAGGGGAGACUGGAAUUCCUGGUGUAGCGGUGGAAUGCGCAGAUAUCAGGAGGAACACCGGUGGCGAAGGCGGGUCUCUGGGCAGUAACUGACGCUGAGGAGCGAAAGCGUGGGGAGCGAACAGG